rnacentral:tRNA from 1 species
AGUUUUAUAUUCAAUAAUGAUAUUAAAUUGCAAAUUUAAAGGUAAAUUUAUAAAAUUUUAAAACUU